rnacentral:lncRNA from 1 species
GUUUAGGCAGGGUUUAGGGUUAGCAGGGUUUAGGGUUAGGUAGGGUUUAGGGUUAGAAAGGGUUUAGGGCUAGGUACAGUUUUUAGGGUUAGGCAAGGUUUAGGGUUUGAAAGGGUUUAGGGUUAGAAAGGGUUUAGGGUUAGUAGGGUUUAGGGUUAGGUAGGGUUUAGGGUUAGGUAGGGUUUAGGGUUGGUAGGGUUUAGGGUUCGGUAGGGUUUAGGGUUAGGUAGGGUUUAGGGUUACGUAGGGUUUAGGGUUAGGUAGGGUUUAGAAUUGGGUAGGGUUUAGGGUUAUGUAGAAUUUAGGGUUAGUAUGGUUUAGGGUUAGUAGGGUUUAGGGUUAGGUAGAGUUUAGGGCUAGAAAGGGUUUAGGGUUAGAAUGGUUUUAGGGUUAGGUAGGGUUUAGGUAAGGUUUAAGGUUAGUAGGGUUUAGGGUUAUGUAGGGUUAGGGUUAGGUAGGGUUUAGAAUUAGGUAGGGUUUAGGGUUAGGAUGGUUUAGGGUUAGAAGGGUUUAGGGUCAGUAGGGUUUAGGGUUAGUAGGAUUUAGGGGUAAAAAGGGUUUAGGGUUAGGUAGGGUUUAGGGUUAAAAGGGAUUUAGGGUUAGGUAGGGUUUAGGGUUAGAAAUGGUUUAGGGUUAGGUAGGGUUUAGGGUUAGGUAGGGUUUAGGGUUAGUAGGGUUUAAGGUUAGUAGGGUUUAGGGUUAGUAGGGUUUAGGGUUAGGUAGGGUUUAGGUUAGGUAGGGUUUAGGUUAGGUAGGGUUAGUAGGGUUUAAAGUUAUGUAGGGUUAGGUAGGGUUUAGGGUUUGGUAGGGUUUAGGGUAGGUACGGUUUAGGGUUAGGUAGGGUUUAGGGUUAGGUUUUAGGUAGGGUUUUAGGGUUAGGAAGGGUUUUAGGGUUAGGAAGGGUUUAGGGUUAGUAGGGUUUAGGGUUAAAUAGGGUUUAGGGUUAGGUAGGGUUUACGUUUAGGGUUAGAUUGGUUUACGAUUUGAUAGGUUUAGGGUUUAGUUAGGGAUUAGGGUUUAAUUUAUGUAGGGUUUAGGGUUAGAUAGGGUUAAGGUCUAGGUUUAGGUAGGAUUUAGGGUCAGGUAGGAUUUAGGGUUUGGUUUAGAUUGGGUUUAAGGUUUGGUUUAGAAUAAUGCUUAGAAUUAUAGGGUUUAGGGUUUGUUUGUUUUUUUGUUUAUGCAUUUAGUGGUGAGUUUUUUGGAAAAAAUUUUAUAUUAAUAUUAUUGAUUCAUAAUUUUUCUUAAAAUGUUAAAAAUUUUAAAGUGAUUUUUAAUGUUCUUAAAACAAAGUAUGUAUUUUUUUAUUAAGUUUUUUGUGACAAUAAGUUGAAUAUAUCUUAGACCACAAAUCAUAAAUAUUCUCAGUCUUAUACAAUUUGUUCUUUAAGUUAUUGUUACUUUUAUUUCCUUUUAUACAUAUCUCUUAAUAUUUAUAUAUGCAUGCAUAAUAUUUUUUUUAAAGUAUUUUUCAUUAACUAAUGUAUUUAUUGUAGUUUUAAAUAUAUUAUAGUUUUCGUGCACUUGAUUAAAAUUUUUUUGGCGUUGGUAGUAUUUGAAGUUGUUGAGAACGUGAAUAGAUAUUUACUUUCAUAAGGUUUUUGGUAUAUGUUUAAAAAUAAAAAUAUUUAAAAGCUUUUAAAUC